rnacentral:RNase_P_RNA from 1 species
GAGGCCGGGUAAGGGUGAAAAGGUGUGGUAAGAGCGCACCGCGUUUUUGGUAACAAAAACGGCAUGGUAAACCCCGCCGGAAGCAAGACCAAAUAGGGGCCGCCUACGGUGCGUUUCCGCAUCGCGGCCCGGGUAGGUCGCUCGAGGCGUCCGGCAACGGACGUCCCAGAUGAAUGGCCAUCGCCUGAUUCGUCAGGUACAAAACCCGGCUUACAGGCUUUUCGAUAAA